rnacentral:rRNA from 1 species
UACGUAGGGUGCGAGCGUUAAUCGGAAUUACUGGGCGUAAAGCGUGCGCAGGCGGUUUUGUAAGUCUGACGUGAAAAUCCCCGGGCUUAACCUGGGAAUUGCGUUGGAGACUGCAAGGCUGGAGUCUGGCAGAGGGGGGUAGAAUUCCACGUGUAGCAGUGAAAUGCGUAGAGAUGUCGGAGGAACACCGAUGGCGAAGGC